UGGGGAAUCUUGCACAAUGGGGGAAACCCUGAUGCAGCGACGCCGCGUGAGUGAUGAAGCCCUUCGGGGUGUAAAGCUCUUUCGACAGGAACGAUAAUGACGGUACCUGAAGAAGAAGCUGCGGCUAACUACGUGCCAGCAGCCGCGGUAAUACGUAGGCAGCAAGCGUUGUUCGGAAUUACUGGGCGUAAAGAGUGCGUAGGUGGUUGGCUAAGUUUGGUGUGAAAUCUCCCGGCUCAACUGGGAGGGUGCGCCGAAAACUGGCUAGCUAGAGUGUGGGAGAGGGACGUGGAAUUCCUGGUGUAGCGGUGAAAUGCGUAGAUAUCAGGAGGAACACCUGCGGUGUAGACGGCGUCCUGGACCAUUACUGACACUGAGGCACGAAAGCGUGGGGAGCAAACAGG
rnacentral:rRNA from 1 species